rnacentral:lncRNA from 1 species
GCAUCCGAAACACCAUCUCUGGUUGCUCUCAUUCUCCCAAUCUUGUCCUUGAGGGAUUUCUCUUGUGAACUCAGAAUCCCCACAUCCUUUUGUUAUCAUUUUAUUUCUUGUAUUACCUUGAAUCAUUUUAAAUACUAAUCUUGCAUUAUUUUAAAUCUUGCAUUGCUACCCAUAAUUAUAUAAUUAAUCAAUAAAUCUAUUUAUUUUUAUUUUCAGAGAUUAUAGAUCAUGUCUUCCAA